UUGUAAUCCCUAUGCAGCGCAGCAGGAUUCUUUGGUCGCGAGAUCGGGGAGCUUGAGGCCUGUGCUCGGGGAGACUUUGACGCCGUUGAUUGAAGGUCCGGAUCCUGAUGGAGGUGAAGAGGAGUCAAAGCGGGUGGGUUCAAGUCUUGGGCACUGGAUGAAAGGGCAAUUAUCGAGGACUCCGUCGGUUUCUAGCGUGGCGUAUAGGAGUUCUGAUCUGAGGUUACUUCUUGGGGUUAUGGGUGCACCCUUGGCUCCGUUGCAUGUUAGCACUAUGGACCCUUUGCCUCACCUUAGCAUUAAAGACACGCCCAUUGAAACUUCCUCUGCUCAGUACAUAUUGCAGCAGC
rnacentral:misc_RNA from 1 species